AUUGAACGCUGGCGGUAGGCCUAACACAUGCAAGUCGAACGGCAGCACAGUAAGAGCUUGCUCUUACGGGUGGCGAGUGGCGGACGGGUGAGGAAUACAUCGGAAUCUACUUUUUCGUGGGGGAUAACGUAGGGAAACUUACGCUAAUACCGCAUACGACCUACGGGUGAAAGCAUGGGAUCUUCGGACCUUGCGCGAUUGAAUGAGCCGAUGUCGGAUUAGCUAGUUGGCGGGGUAAAGGCCCACCAAGGCGACGAUCCGUAGCUGGUCUGAGAGGAUGAUCAGCCACACUGGAACUGAGACACGGUCCAGACUCCUACGGGAGGCAGCAGUGGGGAAUAUUGGACAAUGGGCGCAAGCCUGAUCCAGCUAUACCGCGUGGGUGAAGAAGGCCUUCGGGUUGUAAAGCCCUUUUGUUGGGAAAGAAAAGAAGCAGGUUAAUCCCCCGCUGUUCUGACGGUACCCAAAGAAUAAGCACCGGCUAACUUCGUG
rnacentral:rRNA from 1 species